AUUAAUCGGGCAUUUGAGAUAAUCCGACCCGUAUCUUGGCGGGGCUUGCUCCCAGACUUUCUGGUGUUUUUUGCAACCAUGGUGUGGUUGGACUCUCUUUUUGCCUGACUUAAACACAGACCUGAGCCUCAUUUUCUCUAUCAUUAUGGGAAAUAGUUUAAUUUUAGGGUUUGUUUGGUUUAGAGCCUGUUUGGAUUGGCUUAUUUUAGGCGCUUUUAAGCCAAAAUAGCUUUUAAGCACUUGGAUACAAGUUAUGCAGGUGCUGGUGAGUAUGAGGGAAAAUUACACUCUAUGAGCUCGUGGAUUAGCUGGAAAAAAGUGGCCUUUAAGCAUAAGUGCUUAAAGAACUUUCUUUUUAAGUGCUGAAAGUUAUUUUAUAAAUAAGCAGUUACUUGAUAAAAGGGCAAAGUUGUUGAUCAAACCAAAAUGGCUUUUAAGCCAAAAAAAUAAGUUGGGUUGAGCAACUUCUUUGGUUUUGGUUUUCUAUUUUACCAAACACCCAAAUAGGUUAAAAAUGGCUCAUAAGCUGGUUUGAUCAACUUAUAAGCCAAUCCAAACGGGCUCUAUGUCUACUGGGAAAGAAUAUUUAUCCGGUUUAGCCCAGUUUUUCCUUAAAUAUCUCUUAUACACUAUUAUACACUUUUAUACAAGGUGGACACAUUAUUUACCGUAAGUGUUGUAUACCGUGUGUAUAAGCACGGUUGCGGAAAAACAAAGUUGGUUAUGUGAAUGUAACUGAAAAUAUGGCUAUGUAGGUGUGAUAUAUUAUGUUGGGUUGUAUAUUUUGAUAAACAUAGUUAAUGGGUUAUGAUUUUGUCAAUCUUUCAGUGUGAGCUUAUUAAUCGGGUAUAUGAGAUUAUCCGACCCGUACUUGGCGGGGCGUGCCCCGGUUUUUCUGGUGGUUUUUGCAGCCAUGGCAUCGCUGGACUCUCUUUUGCCCGACAGAAGGGGAAAGAAUGAGGCUACAGAGAGUUUGAGGAUUUUCAUUGAAGGGGUGUCUGCAUCACCCAAUGAUAUCUCAAUCACUGUAAGAAUUCCAACAACCCUUUUAUCAAUUUUGACAGAGGGGGUAAUAUUAACAGCUUGUUUGGAUGGUUGUUUACAUAUCAUAUCAAAUGGUUUCUAUACCCUUCCAACGCUAAGUUAAUACAAUCAACAACAACAUAACCAGUGUGGCCCAGGUGCGGUCUGCGAUGGUAGAGUGCACACAGACGUUACCCCUACCUUGUGAGCUAAAGAUGUUGUUUCCGAUAGAACCUCAGCUCAAGAACUAUGCUAAUACAAUGCAUUUUUUUUUUCUAAUGCUUCUGUCGGAUCAUUGAGUGCUGCCCUUCGAGCUGGUGGAAACGGGUGCUGGUGAUGAUGAUUUUUGUCCAUUUUUAAUUCCCUUCUGAGCUGAUUAAUCGGGUAUUUGAGAUAAUCCGACCCGUAACUUGGCGGGGCAUGCUUCCAGACUUUCUGGUGGUUUUUGCAGCCAUGGCGGCGUUGGACUCUCUUGUUGCCCGAUCUAAUUCAGAUCUGAGCCUCACUUUCUCUAUAUCAGUUGAGAAAAUAUUAUUUAUUUGGUUUUGGAGACGUGUUAUGCAGGUGCUUGUGAGUAUAUUCAUGGCUUCAAAGAGGGCAAAGGUUUUUGUCAAUUUUUAAUUCCAGUCUGAGCUGAUUAAUCGGGCAUUUGAGAUUAUCCGACCCGUAUCUUGGCGGGGCAUGCCACCAGAUUUUCUGGUGAUUUUUGCAGCCAUGGCGUCGUUGGACUCUCUUGUUGCCUGAGCUCAACACAGAUCAGAAGGGAAAAAAAUGAGGCCACAGUGAGUUUAGGGAUUUCAUUGAAAGGGUGGUUGCCUCUCUCUGCAUUAGCCAAUGAUUUCUCCAUUACUGUAAGAAACCCAACAACCCUUUCAUCAAUUUUAACGGGGGAGUAUUAUUAUUAACAAUUAGUUUGGCAUUGGAAGUGCAAAUAUAAAGACCAUCCCAUUUGAAGGGCAAUUCUUCAUUGUUGUUACAUAUUGUUGAAAGGGUUGUUUCCGCCGGAGCAUUCAAUGUUGCCGGUGGAGCUAGUGGAAACGGCAGCGGUGAGUAUAAUCGGUGGCUUGAAAGAGGCGAUGAUGAUUUUUGUCAAUUUUUAAUUCCCUUCUGAGCUGAAUCGGGCAUUUGAGAUAAUCCGACCCGUAUCUUGGCGGGGCAUGCCCCGGUUUCUAGUGGUUUUUGCAGCCAUGUCGUUGUUGGACUCUCUGUUAUGCCUGGCUUAAAUACAGAUCUGAGCCUCAAUUUACCGGACUUCAUUACUGUAAGAAACUCAACAACCCUUUUGUCAAUACUGACGGAGGGAGUAUUAUCAACAGCUUCAGGGUACUCUAUAAACAAAAGUUUAUGGAAAUGAACAAAGCAAAUGCUCAGAAGGAAAAGAAUGAGGCUACGGAGAAAUGAGGAUUUUCAUUGAAAGGGUGGUUGCCGUUCUCUGCAUCAGCCAAUGAUUUCUCCAUUACUGUAAGAAACCCAACAGCCCUUUUAUCAAUCUUAACGGACGGAGUAAUCCAACAACAUACCCAGUGAUUAGAGUGUAUGCAGACCUUACCCCUACCCAGUGAGGUAGAGAGGCUGUCUCCGUAGACCCUCGGUUCAAGAAAAGUGUUUCCAAAAACAGUUUUAAAGCUAAUAUUAACAGUUAGUUUGGAUGGUUGUUACAUAUCAUUUCUAAGGGCGUCUAACCCUUCUACUCUUUUCUUAAUGCUUCCGCCAGAGCAUUGAAUGCUGCCCGUGGGGAUGGUGGAUGCGGUGGUGGUGAGUAUAAUCCAGUGUUUUGGACGGCGCGCGGCGACAAAAGGCGACAAGGGCGCUCUAGCCGCUCGCUUUUUUGAAGUGCGGCGCCAAUAAAUACCAAAAAAUUAAAAUAUUUAAUUGCAUAUAUAAAUAAUCAAAAUCUCACUAGCAAUAACAUAUUAGCAAAUAUUUCAAUUCAAAAAUUAUAAGUAGAUAGUAGAUUCUAAAAGUUUAGAACUUGAAUGAGUCAAUGACUCAAUAAUUAUUGAACAGAAAAAACAGAGGAGAAAAUAGAAAAAGAAAAAAACAGAGGAGAAAAAAACAGAGUAGAAAAAGAAGAAGAGAAUAGAAGGAGGAAAAAAAAAAUGGCAAAAGUCGCCGGAAACAGAGGAGUCGCCGGAAAUAAAAAAGAAGAACAGAAGAAGAAAACAGAGGAGGAAGAAAGAAGAACUGAAGAAGAAGAAGGAGGAGAAAGAGAGCGUACCUGAAAAGCUUGAAGGAGAACAGAGGCAAAAAAAACCCUAGCCGUUGUUUUCAUUUAAGUCUUCAACUUUUAAUUGCUUUUUUUUCUUUUUUUUUUUUUUUUUUUUUAAAUACCCACUGUCGCCUCGCCACAAGUGGCGCCUCGCCUCGGCGCCAUUAGCGCCUUUGACUCGCCUUUUGAAGGUGAGCUCGCCACAGCCCUAAAAGGCGGGAGAGCCACGCCUCGCCACGCCUCUCGCCUUUCACAACACUGGUAUAAUCGGUGGCUUGAAAGAGGCGACGACCAUUUUUGUCAAACUUUAAUUCCCUUCUGAGCUGAUUAGUCGGGCAUUUGAGAUUAUCUGACCCGUAUCUUGGCAAGGCAUGCUCCCAGAUUUUCUGGUGGUUUUUGCAGCCAUGGCGUGGUUAGACUCUCUUUUUGCCCUAGCUUAAAACAGAUCUGAGCCUCACUUUCUCUGUCGGUUUACCCCCUGGUUGGAUGGUUUUUUCCCGUGGUUCAUUAUUGUAUUGUUUUCAUUGAUUGAACAAAGCAAAAGCUCAUAAGGGAAAGAAUGAGGCUACAGGGAUUUGAGGAUUUUUGUUGAAAGGGUGGUUGCCUCUCUCUGCAUCAGCCAAUGAUUGCUCCAUUACUGUAAGACUCCCAACAGCCCUUUUAUCAAUUUAAUCAGAGGGAGUAUUAUAAGCAGCUUAUUUGGCAUUCGAAAUGCAAAAAUUAAAGUUCAGCUCA